UUUUUUUUGUUUUUUUUUCUUUUUUUAAUAAAUUUUCCUUCCCAUUAAACACGGAUUAAUGUUAGUUAAUGAGGGCAAAGCACGAAUUCAAGUUUGGCUCAACCAGAUAUUUUAAAGCAUGGUUGAGAUUUAAACCCGAACAAUAUUUGUAUAUUACGAGUUGCAGUAUUUGUGAGAACUAACAUUUAGGUGAGUUAAAUACUAAUUUCAUUUUAUUAAUUGUAGAGAUCACAUUCACAUUAUAAUAUAGUCGAUUAAUUUAGUUAUGAACAUAUGGGGAAGGGAUUCUUAUAACUUAAAAAAAAAACAAUUAAGAAAUAGAAAUGGGUUACGUAUAAAAC
rnacentral:lncRNA from 1 species